ACCUGGGUGACUGAGUUGGUUAAGUGUCUGACUUCAGCUCAGGUCAUGAUCUCAUGGCUUGUGAGUUCGAGCCCCACAUCGGGCU
rnacentral:tRNA from 1 species